AGGUCGGCUGGCCAGCUGUGAGUGUUUCUUUGGCAGUGUCUUAGCUGGUUGUUGUGAGUAAUAGAUAAGGAAGCAAUCAGCAAGUAUACUGCCCUAGAAGUGCUGCACGUUGUUAGGCCCGUGAAG
rnacentral:pre_miRNA from 15 species